ACUAUAAGAAAAAAGGUGUUUUUGUGGAAAUCUAUAAGCGGCAAUAAAACAAAGGCCACUAAAUGAUUUCAUAAACUCAAAUGUUAGCGGCAGAUGAGCAUUGGCCGGUAUUAAGUACCCUUUUACUGGCAAUAAAAGGAAAUAGCCACUGAAACUCACUAAUUCAAAGAAAUUUUUGCUACGUAUUAUUUUAUCUUUUCCCUCCAAAUAACUUUUCGCUAAAAAACUUAUUCCCUCUAUUCUGUAGAUCUAAGUUCCUAAAACUUUAGAAAUUAUUUUUAAAAUAGCAAACAUUUCUCAUCACCACUACCCUAUCACGGAUGCUUUAUGCCUUCUCCGUCUCACCGGUGGCAACCAAUCCCAUAACACAAAUGAUAUAUCUCUCCCACGUACAUAUAUAAAUAUAUAUAUAUAUAUGAAAUCUUGCAGAGUUUGGAUGGGAAAGCGAUCUAAGUAAAUGUUGCUGAUGAUAGAUCCGGAUGCAGCUAUUGAGUCUUUCAAAAUUUUGGUUAGGUGUUUCUAUUUUUGCGUUUCCUGCUCAGAUUAAAAAGAUUAUGCAAGCUGACGAGGAAUUGCGGAAGAUUGCCAUGAUUGUCCCUCUUUUAUUCUGUCAUACAUUUUAAAUAUUCAGGAAUUUGGCAUAUGGAAACCUUCAUUAUGAUCAAGGGCAGACGAAUUUCGUGCCGCUUAUUUUCUAGUUUAUAGCCAUUUGAUAACACAAGUUAUCAAAAGCUGACACUAGUAAUUAGAUUCAAAUAGUUUAGCUUCUUUAUCAUAUUGUCGACAUUUUAAACUUGUGAACUAGUAAUUAUUCUUGUUUGAUGUGGAUUUGUUGAAGUGCAUUAUGCAUUUUGAAAUGGAUUAUUAUUAUUUACUUUUAA